CUACGAGCUCUAGCUUAAAACCCAAAGGACUUGACGGUGUCCCACCCAACUAGAGGAGCCUGUCCUAUAAUCGAUGGUCCCCGAUAUCACCCAACCUUUYCUUGCUCAUCAGUCUGUAUACCUCCGUCGCAAAUCUACCAUAUGAAUGAUACAUAKUUCGGUUCAAUGAUCACUUCAUCARAACUUCGGGUCAAGGUGCAACCUAUGAAAAGGCAAGUGAUGGGCUACAAUUUCUAACCUAAAACAAACGAAAUACUGCAUGAAACACAGGAACGAAGGAGGAUUUAGAAUUAAAGAGAAAAUAYCUUGUUCUCUUUAACAUGGCCCUGGGACAUGUACACACGCCCGUCMCC
rnacentral:rRNA from 1 species